rnacentral:sRNA from 1 species
AACUAGCCCUGAUUGCAGUGGAAAUCCUUUUUUAUCCGCCGUGGCGGAUAAAAAAGAUUGUAACGAAAAGCAGGUUCCCGG